CAGGCCUAACACAUGCAAGUCGAGCGGGCCCUUCGGGGUCAGCGGCAGACGGGUGAGUAACGCGUGGGAAUCUACCCUUCUCUGCGGAAUAGCUCCGGGAAACUGGAAUUAAUACCGCAUACGCCCUUUGGGGGAAAGAUUUAUCGGGGAAGGAUGAGCCCGCGUCCGAUUAGCUAGUUGGUGGGGUAACGGCCUACCAAGGCGACGAUCGGUAGCUGGUCUGAGAGGAUGAUCAGCCACAUUGGGACUGAGACACGGCCCAAGCUCCUACGGGAGGCAGCAGUGGGGAAUAUUGGACAAUGGGCGCAAGCCUGAUCCAGCCAUGCCGCGUGACUGAUGAAGGUCUUAGGAUUGUAAAGCUCUUUCGCUGGGGACGAUAAUGACGGUACCCGGAGAAGAAGCCCCGGCUAACUUCGUGCCAGCAGCCGCGGUAAU
rnacentral:rRNA from 1 species